CGGGUGAGUAAUGCCUAGGAAUCUGCCUGGUAGUGGGGGAUAACGUUCCGAAAGGAACGCUAAUACCGCAUACGUCCUACGGGAGAAAGCAGGGGACCUUCGGGCCUUGCGCUAUCAGAUGAGCCUAGGUCGGAUUAGCUAGUUGGUGAGGUAACGGCUCACCAAGGCGACGAUCCGUAACUGGUCUGAGAGGAUGAUCAGUCACACUGGAACUGAGACACGGUCCAGACUCCUACGGGAGGCAGCAGUGGGGAAUAUUGGACAAUGGGCGAAAGCCUGAUCCAGCCAUGCCGCGUGUGUGAAGAAGGUCUUCGGAUUGUAAAGCACUUUAAGUUGGGAGGAAGGGCAUUAACCUAAUACGUUAGUGUUUUGACGUUACCGACAGAAUAAGCACCGGCUAACUUCGUGCCAGCAGCCGCGGUAAUACGAAGGGUGCAAGCGUUAAUCGGAAUUACUGGGCGUAAAGCGCGCGUAGGUGGUUUGUUAAGUUGAAUGUGAAAGCCCCGGGCUCAACCUGGGAACUGCAUCCAAAACUGGCAAGCUAGAGUAUGGCAGAGGGUGGUGGAAUUUCCUGUGUAGCGGUGAAAUGCGUAGAUAUAGGAAGGAACACCAGUGGCGAAGGCGACCACCUGGGCUAAUACUGACACUGAGGU
rnacentral:rRNA from 1 species